CAGAUGAUAUAAUAAUAAGCACUUAAGUUCAUUUAAGAUGAAAAUUUGAUCAGUUGAAACUCCCUAGGUCAUAUGGUGAUAAUUUUUACUGUAUACAAGUGCCAGACAUCCACAGACCAGAUGAAUCCAAAACAACAAAAACUAUGAAUCUAUUAGACAACGCAAGUAACCUGCUGACUAAUUUCUUGAGUGGAGGGAAGAUUGGAUCUAUGCCUACAGCUGAAGAUGCAGUUUCUGAUCUUUUCAGUUGGCCACUUUUCUUCUCCUUGCAUGACUGGUUCCUAGAGAUACUUUACCGCGAUCUUUGCUUUCUAUCAUAGACCAUUUGUCGAUGUCGCUUGUACUUCUAUCAUUGUUGUUAUAUGUUCCAGUGUCUAACGUGGCAUCUAAUUGGUCUUCUUGUUUGUUCAUUUUGUUUCUGCAUGCUGACAAACUAUGCUACUGGUGUUUUUUGCAAACUAUAUAUUGUCUUCCAGCACCUGCUUCUGCCAAAGCUGUAAUCCAGGUGUCUAACAAUGUUGCCCAUUUGGGUUGUCCAAAAAAGGGUCCAAAGCCCCAGCGUCUUUCCCAUCAUUCCCAGGCCACAGGGCCUAAUUUACAAAGUUCGCCCCAGGUCCCGGAAAUCAUAGGACCGACCCUGCAGGCCACCCAUUGCCAUGAAGAAAAUCGGAAACUGCUCAUCAUGUAUUAGCUGGCUCAAGUGUUACUUUGAUGACAUCCCCC
rnacentral:lncRNA from 1 species